rnacentral:rRNA from 1 species
AGUGAACGCUGGCGGUAGGCCUAACACAUGCAAGUCGAACGGCAGCACAGUAAGAGCUUGCUCUUACGGGUGGCGAGUGGCGGACGGGUGAGGAAUACAUCGGAAUCUACUUUUUCGUGGGGGAUAACGUAGGGAAACUUACGCUAAUACCGCAUACGACCUACGGGUGAAAGCAGGGGAUCUUCGGACCUUGCGCGAUUGAAUGAGCCGAUGUCGGAUUAGCUAGUUGGCGGGGUAAAGGCCCACCAAGGCGACGAUCCGUAGCUGGUCUGAGAGGAUGAUCAGCCACACUGGAACUGAGACACGGUCCAGACUCCUACGGGAGGCAGCAGUGGGGAAUAUUGGACAAUGGGCGGAAGCCUGAUCCAGCCAUACCGCGUGGGUGAAGAAGGCCUUCGGGUUGUAAAGCCCUUUUGUUGGGAAAGAAAAGCAGCAGGUUAAUACCCCGCUGUUCUGACGGUACCCGAAGAAUAAGCACCGGCUAACUUCGUG